rnacentral:rRNA from 1 species
UACGAAGGGGGCUAGCGUUGUUCGGAAUCACUGGGCGUAAAGGGCGCGUAGGCGGCUUUGUAAGUCGGGGGUGAAAGCCUGUGGCUCAACCACAGAAUUGCCUUCGAUACUGUAGAGCUUGAGACCGGAAGAGGUUAGUGGAACUGCGAGUGUAGAGGUGAAAUCGUAGAUAUUCGCAAGAACACCAGUGGCGAAGGCGGCUGACUGGUCCGGUUCUGACGCUGAGGCGCGAAAGCGUGGGGAG